rnacentral:rRNA from 1 species
CGUGUAGGUGGUUGGGUAAGUCAGAUGUGAAAGCCUUCUGCUUAACAGAAGAAGUGCAUUUGAAACUGCCCGGCUAGAGUACGGGAGAGGAGAGUGGAAUUCCCGGUGUAGAGGUGAAAUUCGUAGAUAUCGGGAGGAACACCAGUGGCGAAGGCGGCUCUCUGGUCCGAUACUGACGCUGAGACGCGAAAGCGUGGGGAGCAAACAGGAUUAGAUACCCUGGUAGUCCACGCCGUAAACGAUGGGCACUAGGUGUAGGAGGUAUUGACCCCUUCUGUGCCGAAGCUAACGCAUUAAGUGCCCCGCCUGGGGAGUACGGCCGCAAGGACUAAA